rnacentral:rRNA from 1 species
GAUGAACGCUGGCGGCGUGCCUAAUACAUGCCAGUCGAGCGAACGGACGAGAAGCUUGCUUCUCUGAUGUUAGCGGCGGACGGGUGAGUAACACGUGGAUAACCUACCUAUAAGACUGGGAUAACUUCGGGAAACCGGAGCUAAUACCGGAUGAUAUUUUGAACCGCAUGGUUCAAAAGUGAAAGAUGGUCUUGCUGUCACUUAUAGAUGGAUCCGCGCUGCAUUAGCUAGUUGGUAAGGUAACGGCUUACCAAGGCAACGAUGCAUAGCCGACCUGAGAGGGUGAUCGGCCACACUGGAACUGAGACACGGUCCAGACUCCUACGGGAGGCAGCAGUAGGGAAUCUUCCGCAAUGGGCGAAAGCCUGACGGAGCAACGCCGCGUGAGUGAUGAAGGUCUUCGGAUCGUAAAACUCUGUUAUUAGGGAAGAACAUAUGUGUAAGUAACUGUGCACAUCUUGACGGUACCUAAUCAGAAAGCCACGGCUAACUACGUG